ACCGCUAUGUACGUAUAUCCUGCAAGGGUACUGAGGGCAAGUGACAUGGCAGUUCUAGGUGUGCUCAUCUUCCUGACAGUUUGCUCAGAAGUCAGCUCCCAGAUCCAGCUGACCCAGGCUGGGGCAGAAGUCAAGAAGCCUGGGGAGGCAGUGAGGCUGACAUGUAAAGCCUCUGGCUACACAUUCACCAGCUAUGGCAUCAACUGGGUUCGUCAAGCCCCUGGGAAAGGACUGGAGUACAUAGGACGGCUCAAUGCCAAUAGUGGUGCUACCGCCUAUGCCGAGGCCUUCAAGGGCCGACUAACCAUCACCAUAGACACCUCCAUCAGCACAGCCUAUCUGCAGCUGAGCAGCCUGGGGGCCAGUGACACAGCUAUGUAUUACUGUACUCGCUACACUGUGCUCUCUGCACAAUGA